rnacentral:rRNA from 1 species
GACGAACGCUGGCGGCGUGCUUAACACAUGCAAGUCGAACGGAAAGGCCCCUUUGGGGGUACUCGAGUGGCGAACGGGUGAGUAACACGUGAGUAACCUGCCCUUGACUUCGGGAUAACUUCAGGAAACUGGGGCUAAUACCGGAUAGGAAUCCUUGCUGCAUGGUGGGGGUUGGAAAGCUUCGGGGGUUUUGGAUGGACUCGCGGCUUAUCAGCUUGUUGGUGGGGUAGUGGCUUACCAAGGCUUUGACGGGUAGCCGGCCUGAGAGGGCGACCGGCCACAUUGGGACUGAGAUACGGCCCAGACUCCUACGGGAGGCAGCAGUGGGGAAUAUUGCACAAUGGGCGGAAGCCUGAUGCAGCAACGCCGCGUGCGGGAUGACGGCCUUCGGGUUGGAAACCGCUUUCAGCAGGGGCGAAGCUUGUGGUGACGGUACCUGCAGAAGAAGCACCGGCUAACUACGUG